CAGGUACAACAGACGAUUGCUCCAAAAUCAGGAGAGGAAAGUCCGAGCUACUGAGACAAGAUUCCAUUUAACAAAUGGCUAGCGUAAGCUAAGGGAAAGUGCAACAGAAAUAAAACCGCCUUUUUUAGGUAAGGGUGAAAUGGUGAGGUAAGAGCUUACCGGGAUUUAAGUAAUUAAAUUUGUCCGUGCAAACCCAAUCUGUAGCAAAAAGAGUAUGGUUAAUGUCUCAUUUUAACUCUUUGCUUGAGAUAUAUUGCGAAAUAUGUCCCAGAUAAAUAAUCGUCCUAGACAGAACUCGGCUUAUCGUUGUGCCUGAUUU
rnacentral:RNase_P_RNA from 1 species